rnacentral:lncRNA from 1 species
GUUGACCGUCUGAUGGGUCUGCCUCGUUUGAAUCCUCAGUGGAACCUUAGGAGAGGUAAAAAUUUCACAAAUCGCAGCCGAAUUUCCUUCAUAAAAUUCUUGCUUCGGGCUUUUCUUUCUGCAUCUGCAAUUACUACUCCCUUGUUGGUUUCCUCGUCUAUGAUUUGAUUGACCUUGGGUAUUAUGAGGUUUAUCGCGUUGAUGGGGAUCUUCCUCAUUAGCUCUUUAAAACCUGCUUCGAUGAGAUUUGGCAUGAGGGAAGUUAAUAGGUGGAUUGGCACCUUCUUGUCAGGAUUACGGUGUUUGAAACCACCAGAGUAACCAGUCCGGCCUUCCCAAACUACGUUUGUAUGUGGAUCAGGUUAUUCAUUCCUUGACCUACGUAUGCCUAGCCCUUGACCCAGAUUGAACAUCUCUUGACCGAUCGUCAUUACCUCUAGUGAUAUCAUAAGUUUAAUUAUUGGCGAACCCAUUGAUUCAUAAUGAGGGGUACUUACUUCAAAAGCUUGGAAACUGGCAGGCUCAAUUCCUUCGUUUAAGCUGAUUAGGGCCAUCUCACCCUGUGUAUGACUCAGAUACUCAGACUCAGCGCUUAUGGUGACCAAGUUACCAUUAACGAUAUAUUUUAAUUGUUAGAGGAGAGUGGAGGGAACUGCCCCAGCCAUGUGAAUCUAUGGUCGUCCCAACACCAGAUUAUAUCCAGUAGUGAUGUUUAAUACUUGGAAGGACACGUUCAAAGUGUAUGGGCCAAUUUCCAUGAGAAGCUCAAUUUCCCCCACUGUGUCUCUCCAUGAUCCGUCGAAAGCACUAACCACGACGUAACUAUCUUGGAUCCUGUUUGAGUUGAUCUUCAUUCUCCAGAGGGUGUCACAGGGGCAAAUAUUUAAAGUGGAGCCGCCGUCGAUCAGGACUCCUUCUAUAACAAUCCCUGAUGAUAUAAUCGCGAUGUGCAGAAGUUUGUGAUGCCCAGUUCCUUCCGUUGGUAUAUCGUCAACUAUAUCACAUUGCUAUAAAGUACGUGUUUUUCCGUGUCGAUUAUUUUAGGCAGGUGUGCUUCUUCCAACACUUGGAUUAGAAUCCGGUGAUGGUCCUCAUAGGCUAGUACCAGAUCUAGGAUAGAGGUUUGGGAGGGUGCUUCUUUCAGCUCCAUUACUGUCCUUACCUCAUUGUGUCCCAUCUUAGUUAGGAACUCCACAAUCUUUCCCUCAGGUACUUUUCCUGCAGUCUUAGCUAUUCGCUUCAUCACUUACCCAGGAAGGUAAUGUGGAAUGUCUUUUUAAAAGAUUGUCGUAUAUUACUUCAAAAGCUUGGAAACUCGCAGGCUCAAUACGUACCUUCGUUUAAGCUGAUCAGGGGCAUCUCACCUUGUGUAUGACUCAGAUAAUCAGACUCAGCGCUGAUGGUGAUCAAGUUACUAUUGCCGAUAUAUUUUAAUUAUUGGUGGAGAGUGGAGGAACUUCCCCAGCCAUGUGAAUCUAUGGUCAUCCCAACAACAGAUAAUAUCCGGUAGUGAUGUUUAAUACUUGGAAGGACACGUUGAAAGAGUAUGGGCCAAUUUCCAUGGGAAGCUCAAUUUCCCCCACUGUAUCUCUCCAUGAUUCGUCGAAAGCACUAACCAUGAC